rnacentral:rRNA from 1 species
AUUGAACGCUGGCGGCAUGCCUUACACAUGCAAGUCGAACGGCAGCACGGGAGCAAUCCUGGUGGCGAGUGGCGAACGGGUGAGUAAUAUAUCGGAACGUGCCCAGUCGUGGGGAUAACGUAGCGAAAGCUACACUAAUACCGCAUACGAUCUAUGGAUGAAAGCGGGGGAUCGCAAGACCUCGCGCGAUUGGAGCGGCCGAUAUCAGAUUAGGUAGUUGGUGAGGUAAAGGCUCACCAAGCCGACGAUCUGUAGCUGGUCUGAGAGGACGACCAGCCACACUGGGACUGAGACACGGCCCAGACUCCUACGGAGGCAGCAGUGGGGAAUUUUGGACAAUGGGACGCAAGCCUGAUCCAGCAAUGCCGCGUGCAGGAUGAAGGCCUUCGGUUGUAACUGCUUUGUAC